rnacentral:rRNA from 1 species
GACAGAGGGUGCAAACGUUGUUCGGAAUUACUGGGCGUAAAGCGCGUGUAGGCAGCUGAGCAAGUCGGAUGUGAAAGCCCUGGGCUCAACCUAGGAAGUGCAUUCGAAACUGCUGAGCUUGAGUUCUGGAGAGGAAGGCGGAAUUCUCGGUGUAGAGGUGAAAUUCGUAGAUAUCGGGAGGAACACCGGUGGCGAAGGCGGCCUUCUGGACAGCAACUGACGCUGAGACGCGAAAGCGUGGGGAGCGAACAGG